rnacentral:misc_RNA from 1 species
CGCGAAGCACAGCUUGUGCACUUAAAGGGGCGAGCUUUGACCGGCAGAAAUGCUCCCAAGAACUCAACUCUGAAUGCUCAGAUACUGGUGUCGGGUCAUGUGACUUCUCGUAUACAGUUUGCAGCUCCAAGAGGAGAGUUCUAGCUGCUUCCCUGGAUUCAGGAAGUUGGUCACUGAGCUGUGAUGCAGCUACUAGGAUCAAUUUGUCAAUACCGUAUGAUUUAAUCCCUUCAACACCCAGUCGUGGUAUGCUUCGAGAUAAGCACAUUGAUGCCUUAGCUCGAAUUCG